UUACUCAGGAAAUACAAAACCAUAUUCUUUGAAAUCCACUGCGAAAAAAAAACAUAAUAGGCAUGCAGUCGUCACGUUUCCGACAGCAAGGGAAGUACUGUCUAAACUCUUUAGACCAAUUUUUUUAAGUGAAAAUUUUCCAAUGGUCCCCCCUUCUUCACUUUGCGGCCAAAUUUUGACAUUUUCGAAACUUAAUUAAACACAUUUUCUUGUAGAUUUCGAGCUCUACAACUCACUUCCAGAAUCGUUUCUUUGAUAACUGCAACCGUUUUUCCGGAAUCGGCCGUUGAAAUAUCGAGAUUUUUAGAAAUUUUCAAAAAUUCGCAUUUCCUGAAAAUUUUCCAAUUUCCCCUUCUUCGCUGUUCGGCCAAAUUUUGACAUAUUUUCCGCAAUAGUUAUUAAUAAUAAAGUAGAAAUUCGCUAAAACGCCGCACUUUUACGCCAAACCGACGCGAUAAUCUUGCCGCCAUCCAACAGAAAUUAAUAGUGAACACAAAGAACCGCGACACGUGACCUUCGGACAGCUAGCUCAGGUGACAGUGACGUCAUCGUACGUCACGAUGAGAUUGCAAGAAUUAUUUUUCAUAUUUUGGCCGGGAAAAUGCACAUUUUCGGGGAUAAAUUAACAAUUUUUAAACAAAUUGAUUUGUUUUUAAUAAUUUCGGACUUGUAGGGCAACGAGUUUCGAUUUAAUUAUCAUAUUUAUUUAUGCUUAUCAUAUUUAAACAUUAUAAGUGAUAUUAAUUAUGUUUAAAAUUUAUAAAUUAAUAUCGUGCAAAUGUAUAGCUUUGAUCAACCAACUUCAAUCGUUUCGAAAAUUUUCCCAAAAUUUAAACAUUGUCGAGUGAACGAAUCACGGAAUCCGAUAAAUUAAAACUGAGGUCGUACUUACCCUGUUUUCAGUCCUUUUCGGAAAAAUAUCCAUUUCGUUCGUGUUUACAGUACUAAUACAACACAUUUUCACUAAUAUUUAUUAAUAAUAAAUUAGAAAUUCGUGAAAAGAGCCCUACUUUUAAGCCAAAACGGAGCUCCAGUGUUGUUGCUACCAGACCGGAAUCAAAACUAAACACAGAGGACCGAAAAAUGUGACCUUUUAUCAGGUAGGUCACGUGACAGUGACGUCAUCGUACGUCACGAUGAGAUUGCAAAAAUUAUUUUUCAUAUUUUCGCUCAGAAAUUGUACAUUUUCGGGGUUAAUUUAACAACGUUUAAACAAACUAAUUUGUUUUUGCUAACCUCGUGUUCUUAGGAAAAUGGUUUUCAGUUUAAUUAUCACAUAUUAAUAGUUAUCAUAUUUAAACAUUAUGAAUUAUAUUAAUUACGUUUAAAUUUUAUUUAAUUAUAUCGCGAAAAUGUAUAGCUUUGGCCCACCAACUUCACCGAUACAUCGCAGCAUAGAUCUUUUAUCAAUAGUGCCAACGCAAUGUUACAAAUCACUAACAUUGCUGAUUUAGUGAUGACGCUUAUCAAAGAAACGACUCCUAUUAAAGGUAGAAGUUGCCGAGGAAAAAAAGGAAAAUGAAGGAAAAAUUUGUUAACAACUUGUCUUCACAUUUGUCCUUAUAAAUAAUAAAUUAAAUGUAAUACAUUUUUGUUUCCUUAAGAAUACAAAGUUAACAAAGUUAGUUGAGUUACAAAAGUCUCUUUUGCUCCACGUUGGCCACCAACGAGCGAUUUUCAAGAUUUUUGUGAAACUUUGCUGGUUUUGAAUUUGAAUUUUCUGUCCUCGAUAGUUGAUGCUCAGCAAGAACCACGGGAAGGUCUGGAGCAGAUCUCGCUAGGAAAGGAGAGGGCUAGGAUUUGUUAAUGAGGGAUAGAACGUUAUACAGUACAAUACAAAAGAAAUACAAUACAGAUACAAAACAAAUGCAAAGUUAGUACCCAAUUCAUCACCGGAAGAAAUUGCACCAAAAAUUGAGAAUGUUGCAAAAUGAAAACCCAAGCAAGCACACCGAUGGAACUCGGAACGAAAUCUAUUGGUCGCAGUGCUCGUUCGUCCAAGGCAGGAAUGCAGCCGCAUAAAUCCAAGGCCGACUGACCUCAUCCUUAUAGGAUGAUGCGACCCAGCGUCUAAGGGCCAACAGAACCCCCCCAGACCAAGAGCUCCUGACGACAUGGAGAAUUCAGACCUGGAACCAAAGGAUGCGCUGUUGCAAAAUGAAAACCCAAGCAAGCACACCGAUGGAACUCGAAACGAAAUCUAUAGGUCGCAGCGCUCACACGCCCAAGGGAGAACGCAGCCGCAUAGAUACAGGGCCGACUGACCUCAUCCCUUUGAGAUGAUGAACCUCAUCCUUUUAGGAUGAUGACCCAGCGUCUAAGGGCCCAGAGAACCCCCCCAGGCCAAAGCGUCUGACGACAUGGAGAAUUCAGUCUCGGAACCAAAGAAUGCACUGUUGCAAAAUUAAAACCCAAGCAAAUGCACCGUGAAAACAAAGCAUUUGCACCACUGGAGCUAAAUUGGCAAGACCCAAGUUAAGUUAGUAACACAUACAAUAUACAGUACAAAAUGGUUCAAUUACAAAAGUUACAAUAUACAAAUUUCUCCACGUUUGCCACCAAAGAGCGAUGACUGUGCUCGCUCGUUGUUGUUGCCCAGCAAGAACCAAACAAUACGAGGAGGUCUGGAGUGCGUCUUGCCAUGAGAAAAACAAUAAAUUAGAAAUUCGCGAACACGGGCUACUUUUAAGCCAAAACGGAGCUCCGAAUGCUAAGAUGUUGCUGCCACCAGACCGAAAUCAAAACUAACCGAAAACCGCAAUAUUUGUUCAGGUAGCUCUCGUGACAGUGAUGUCAUCAAACAUCACGAUGAGAUUGUAAACAUUAUUUUUCAUAUUUUGACCGGAACAUUUUUAAUAUGUUCACGUUUGUAGGAAAACGGCUUUAAUUAUAUUAAUUAAUACUUAUCAUAUUUAAACAGUAUAUAUAAAUUAAAACUACAACCGUAUUUACUCCGUUUUUGGGAAUUUUUGGAAAAAUGCACACUUUGUUUCGUGUUCACAGAGCUAAUGCAGAACAUUUUCAUUAAUAUUUAUUAUCAAUCAAUUAGAAAUUCGCGAAAACGUGGUAGUUUUACGCCAGAACGGGGCUCCGAAUGCUCCGACGUUGCUGCCACCAGAUCGAAAUCAAAACUGAACACAACGGACCGAAGACCGUGCCUUUGCUCAAGUGGUCACGUGACAGUGACGUCAUGGUGUGUCACCAUGAGAUUACUAAAAUUAUUUUUCAUACUUUGCCCGGAAAAUUGCAAUUCAACAAUGUUUAAACAAAUUGAAUUGUUUAAAUAUUAUUUAAUUGUGUCAUGAUAGUUUCUUAGCAGUGUUUGCACGAGUUGAUUUCAUUAAUAAUUGUAAAUCUGUCAUUUAUCACCAUGUGUUAUUAUACACAACGAAUAAUUUUAAAAAUAAAUAAAUAAAUAAAUUCGCCACUUA